UUUAGAGAGAUUUCAAGGGUACGUGAACCGUUCAGGGGUAAACCUGCGAAACUCGAAUGAAUGAACGAAGAGAUUCAUCGCAAUUUCUCCUCAAAGUUUGUGAGUUUGAGAUUGCGUGCACUUCUCUUUUAGUAAUACAUCGCGACCCGUUAUAUGUGAGUCGAUGCGUCGUUCGGGAGUCCAUCAGUCGCUGCCUUUUUGGGAGCGACCGGACCGUGACUAUCCGCUGGCCUCAUUUGACGGUAUCGAAUGAAUCGUGCACGCGUUAACGCGCGUCCGGCCCGACACAAGGUGCUGUAGUGCCGAAGACCUGCCAAAGUGCGGUUGCACGUAUUGCAGUGCCGUUGUAGCCGUUCAGUCUCGGACUGUGCACGUAUCAGUCGGCGAUGCUUCGGUUUCGGCACUCGCAGGACCGUCUUGAAACACGGAC
rnacentral:rRNA from 1 species